UGCUAUCUUAACCAUCUCAUCCUCUGCCACCCCCUUCUCCUUUUGUCUUCAGUCUUUCCCAGCAUCAGGGUCUUUUCCAGUGAGGAAUUUCUUUGCAUCAGUUGGCCAAAGUAUUGGAGCUUCAGCAUAAGUCCUUCAAAUUAAUAUUCAGGGUUGAUUUCCUUUAG